GAGUCCAGUUUGGCGGGUCCAGAAUCCUGCGGGGCUGGGCCAGGCCGGGCUCUGUGAGGACCUCCCGCAAGGCCAGGCAUCGCCUCUGCCCUCCGCCCCGCAAGGUCACCCCUGUCCAGGGGGCAAGGCAGCUGGGAUGUGCCCAGGCUACACGGCUGGCGAGAGUGGGGAUGGGGGCUCCACCCACCCAGGUCCAUGUGCCCCAACCAUGGCAGAGCUGGGCUGUGAGUGGGCCCCUUUCCUAGCGGCCUGGAUGCCACAGAGACGGAGCAGCCUCCAAGACCCUGAGAGAGAUCACCUCACAACCACCAAGAUGGCUUCAGGAAUAAUAACAACUUGAAGAGAGGCAGUUAAAGGCAUCGCAGAAGAGAAAAAGAAAGAAAACACCCCAGCAGUUCCUCCAAGGGUUAAACACAAGCUCCCCACGUGACCCAGAGAGGCAUGCCUUGGUAUCAAGAGAAGCGAAAACAUACGCCCAUACAGAAACUUGUGCAGCGUUCUAAAACCAAAGAGGCGCCAAUACCCAGACAGCCACCCGCUGAUGGCUGGAGAAAGAAAAUGGGAUCUGUCCCAACAACGGAAUAUUCUUCGGCCAUACAGUCUGAACGCGGACGGCCCCUGAACACACGACACUCAGGAAACCAGAUACAAAAGGCCACAGUUGACUGCUGCCCGCGCUCCCCUCCCCGGGGCUACUUGUAUCCACAGGCCAGGCCAAAAUCAGCAGAAGUUUAAAUGGCAAAAGAUUUAUGAAAUUGCUGUCUAAAUCCUGACGGAUAACACAGUUUAAAAGAAAGGUUUUCUGACCUAAAAACAAAGAAGA